AUUAUAUCGAAGAAAGAUAUAUAAAUAUAUAUGAAUGCAAAACAGCAGUAAAUAUCAGACUGAGACAAAAAUGGAUUCAGCUUGUGCCAUAUGGUAGGAGAUGUUAUGCUGAAGCGGCACGCAAAUCAUUGACGUCAUGGGCUGUUCGACGUCACGGACGUCAAAACCUAUGCGACGUUACGACGAGCUAUCCCCGGGGGUGCUGGUUACCACGUGCAAGGAUAGAGGGGUGCCAGACGGGCAGGAUAAACACGAAACUAGUAGUCAAACAGGUCAAGUGCAGAUGGACGAGUUUGCGAUGAGAUAUCGCCAAUGCCAGGUCACCGAGAUUACGUACGUUUCGGGAUCUACUACGUCACUGGAGAAGAGCCUUAUGUGAUGUCAUGUGGAAAUGACGUCAUCAGUGUUGUUGAUUGCGUGCCUAAUAUAAAUCGAAACAAAUUGUUAAAAUUUAUUUUUGAUGAAUUUGACUGAUAAAUGAACUCAUUGCAGAACAUGUGAACAUUUCCAUGCACGUGACGUACCUGUGUUUCAUAUUUUACG